rnacentral:rRNA from 1 species
ACGGCCGGCGGCGUGCCUAUACAUGCAGUCGAACGGAUUAUGUGAUUUAUCAUAUAGUUAGUGGCGAACGGGUGAGUAACGCGUUGGUGACCUGCCCCGAAGCGGGGGAUAACAGCCCGAAAGGGUUGCUAAUACCCCAUAUGGUUAUUGCGAUUUGAAAACAAUAACUAAAGGAGAAAUCCACUUUGGGAGGGGCCUGCGUCCCAUCAGCUAGUUGGUAAGGUAACGGCUUACCAAGGCGAAGACGGGUAGGGGACCUGAGAGGGUGGCCCCCCACAAUGGAACUGAAACACGGUCCAUACACCUACGGGUGGCAGCAGUAGGGAAUAUUGCACCAUGGGCGAAAGCCUGAUGCAGCAACGCCGCGUGAGUGAUGAAGGCCUUCGGGUUGUAAAACUCUUUUCAAGGGGAAGAGGAAGGACGGUACCCUUGGAAUAAGCAUCGGCUAACUACGUGCCAGCAGCCGCGGUAACACGUAGGAUGCGAGCGUUAUCCGGAUUUACUGGGCGUAAAGCGCGUGUAGGCGGUUGAGAAAGUUGGAUGUGAAAGCUCCCGGCUUAACUGGGAGAGGUCGUUCAAAACUUCUUGACUUGAGUAUGGUAGAGGAAAAUGGAAUUCCGGGUGUAGUGGUGAAAUGCGUAGAUAUCCGGAGGAACACCAGUGGCGAAAGCGGUUUUCUGGACCAAAACUGACGCUCAGACGC